UUGGAAUUUCACAUGUGGAAAUACCAUAAAAGGUUAGGGAUAAAAUUGGAAUUUCACAUGUGGAAAUACUAUAAAAGGUUAAGGGCAAAGGUGGAAUUUCAACUUGGAAAUAUUAGGAAAGGUGAGGGGCAAAAUGGAAAUUUCACAUGGGAGCCUUAGUCAUAAAAUCCUAGAAUUCUCUACACAAUUUGAGAAAGAAGAAGAGCAAAGGAAAGAAGAGAAAUCAAGAGAGAAAAUCGGACAAGAAGACCAAAAAAUUACCCCUUCAAAUUUCAUCCCAAAAAUUAUAAUUUUCUAGUAUUCCUACUAAGUCAAGGGUGCUCUACAACAUGGUGUAGUUUUUUUGGAAGAUAGGAGGCUUGUUUGGUUGAUUUGAAGCUUUGGUAAAGUGAAGAAGUUGGAAGGAAAAGAUUUUGGAGGAAACGGGAAUUGAAUUUGGACAACCGUAAAACGUCAAAAAGGUACCGAAGUUCGAUUUGCUGAUCCACCUGUUUAGGAUAUUUGCUGCGUCGUUGACAGUGCUCCCUUGUUCGGAGCUUGUAUUUUGGUACUGACUUUAUCUCUGUAUAUUUGGAUAUGUUGGUCAGGGGUACGACGGGGCCUUGUCCCGUCAUAUGACUAUGCUAUCAUCUGUAGAGGUCUGUAGACAGAGUUAUGUUGUGGGUUUUGUAUAUAUGGUUUGGGUUUUGUGUGUU